UACGAAGGGGACUAGCGUUGUUCGGAAUCACUGGGCGUAAAGCGCACGUAGGCGGAUUGCUAAGUCAGGGGUGAAAUCCUGGAGCUCAACUCCAGAACUGCCUUUGAUACUGGCGAUCUUGAGUCCGGGAGAGGUGAGUGGAACUGCGAGUGUAGAGGUGAAAUUCGUAGAUAUUCGCAAGAACACCAGUGGCGAAGGCGGCUCACUGGCCCGGUACUGACGCUGAGGUGCGAAAGCGUGGGGAGCAAACAGG
rnacentral:rRNA from 1 species